rnacentral:sRNA from 1 species
CCAGGAGGGAGGAUGGCUGGCCGGUCGGGGACGGCGUCGCUCUGCCCCUCCGGCCGAUUCUCAGUCCCAUUGGUUCCUCCUGGUUUUCUCCUGCCUCGUG